UACGGAGGGUGCAAACGUUGCUCGGAAUCAUUGGGCGUAAAGCGCACGUAGGCGGCCUGUUAAGUCGGGUGUGAAAGCCCUCGGCUCAACCGAGGAAGUGCAUUCGAAACUGGCGGGCUUGAAUAUGGAAGAGGGUCGCGGAAUUCCCGGUGUAGAGGUGAAAUUCGUAGAUAUUCGGAAGAACACCAGUGGCGAAGGCGGCUCACUGGACCGGUAUUGACGCUGAGGUGCGAAAGCGUGGGGAGCAAACAGG
rnacentral:rRNA from 1 species